GCGAGAGUGGCGGAAUUGGUAGACGCACUGGAUUUAGGUUCCAGCGCCGCACGGCGUGGGAGUUCGAGUCUCCCCUUUCGCACCA
rnacentral:tRNA from 8 species